AUAACUAUUGACACUUUGACCGCCACAGCACAGUUGGCUAUGAUUACAUUAUAAAAUUGAAAUGUACUAAUUUCAAUAGUGUUACUAUUGUGUGCUACAUAAAAAACUCAAGACGGUCAAAAGAAAGACUAAUACCUAUACUCUGUAUCUUUAGGUAUUUAAAUAAAAGUAAACAAAAUCUACCCUCAAAUGGCUCCUUAAGCCAGUUGAGGGUAGAUGAAAACAUAACAUGAUCAAAUAAUGUAGGUUAAAGUCAGGUCGUUGAGUGACUGAUCCAAGCGGGUUUUGUAUUUGGUUGGUUAACCAAUAAAUGUUAUAACUACCCGAAAAUGUACAAAUUGUUUGUUUACUUUUAUUUAAAUACCUAAAGAUACAGACAUAGACUCUAAAACUAGAUGUUUCUAAAUUUAUAUUUAUACGAUUUCUUUUAAAUCUAUAGACGUUUUUGAAACUUGAAGGCAGGUGUAAAAAAUAAGAGCUAUUGUAGAUUUUCAAUACAUAGGUAGUGUACUAACAGCCUUAACUGACCAUUUUCGAAUUGUCAGUUACAUGUGUGGACGAUAGUAAUACCAGUAUAUUAGGGCUGAUUUAGAUGAUGCGAGAACUCGCAUGUUAGUUUCAUUACAUUGCGGGUUUUGAUGGGUCGGUUGAAUUGGACCUAACCAACAGUCCGCAAUGUAACUAAAAUCGCAUGCCAGUUCGCGCGCCGUCUAAAUCAACCCAUAUCCUAAUUGACUUGCAAGUAGUUAUCUAGAACUAUAGCUGUGUUUUACGUUAAUGUGUAGACUUCCUGAGCUUUAUAAGAAAUGAUAGAGGCGAAUGAAAUAGAACGGGUUUAUGAAUUUAUGUCGUUUUUUACUGACCGAAAAACUCAAGAACGGAUAAUAUUUGCAAGUCAAUUUGGGUAAAGUACAAUAACCGAGUAGCCCUAAGGGUGGUAUUCCAUCCAAUUCCUUUAUCCAAUGUCAGUGCGUCUCACUCUCUUAUUAAAGCAAAAUGUGAGACGCAAUACACAUUGGAUAAAGAAAUUGGAUAGAUGGAAUACCAGCCUUAUUCAGAAAGUAAAACUUAUGGAGGGUGCCGACUUCGUCAUUCUAGUUAGAAUCAGUAUUGUUAUUGGUGUUUCACCAUUGGGACAUACGGUAUACUUGCCUACAAAAUUACGAAAAUAUUAAUAAUAGAUUGUAUUAAAGUCAUCUACGCGGUCGUAAUCGAGGCAUGUGACCUUGCUAGUUUCCGACAAUGUAGUUAGGUACUGGUUUCCAUCAUUUUUUUUUGUGCCGUGAUAUUGGACUCUCAGAAGCUUGUACGGCUCUUUAGUACGGUCUUAACCCUUUACCGCAUACAACAUAUAUGGCGGAUAUGAUAUUCAACUCUAUUGAAAGCUAUUAAAGUUCAAAUUUAAACAAAUAUUUUUUAUUACAUGCAGUAAGGGGUUAAAUGUCGGAUAUUGGCAGCAGUCGAUGGUAUAUUCGUGAGCCAGUGAACUUAGGAUGUGGUUUUCGGAGUUCUGCAGUCAUGUAACGUGUAUCGACGAAUGUUGUUAUCGGUAAUCGAUGUAGUAUUCUCGCGAAAUAUUAUUUUAUACUUCCUGUUGUGUGUUGCAGUGUUUGAAUACUUUAAUAGAUGUGUACAUUUUAUAAAGUCAUCUAAUCCAGACAAUGGUACGGUGAUGUACGUCGACGUCAAAGACAUGUUUACACUUUUGCACCUUACUCCUUUGUAAUAAGGCGAAAAGUGUAAACAUAUCUUUGACGUCGGCUGUACAUAAAACAGUGAAUCGCACUGUAACAUACAGCAUUGAUGCUUAUACGGUGCUUAGUACAAACAAAUGUGUCACGCGGAUAAUAAUUUGCCAAGUAAAAAAGUGUUCAAUUUACUUAAGUGUUUAAUUUGACUAAUAUAAUAUCAAUUAAAACUCUAACCAAUAUCGCUACUCGAUAUUAAACUUUCGUGAGACAUAUUUUAAACUCGACUGUGCACGAGUUGCAGUCAUCGCGAGCACUCGAGCCUGAGGAAGGACCCCCGAAGGGCCCGAAACAUGUCGCCAAUAGCGACUAAAAAUUCAAGUGAGUGUAACCGUUGUCGUCUAAACAGUCCAAUAUCGCUAAUUUUAAUUAAAGAUAUAUUUGUGAAGUUUUCAACCACAUUGUCGGUUGUCGAUAUGGUUGAUUUCAAAUUGAAGCUUUAUGGAAAUUGCGCCUUACUGACAACCGACAAUAAGUACCCUUUUGGUUGAAAAUGGCAUAUUUGUCUACUAAGUUAAUUGAACAUUUUUCGCCGCAUUCCUAUAAAAAGGUUCGCAUGACACAUAUUCCUCCAGGAGCAAUAAUUAAAUAGGGAUUAGAUGUGUAAUUAACAAUUACAUCCUUCAUAAGUUAACGCAAUUCAAGAACACCAAUAUUAGGCAACUAUUCAUAGUAUUAUAAGAUACCAUGGCUUAUUUUCUAGAUUAAAUAUAAUCUAAAGAUAUUGUCAUUUUACUAGCAAUACGCUAUAAAUAAAUUAUGUCGACAUCAAUUCAGAUAAAAGUCUAGUGAGAAAAGGCUUAUACUUAAUAAAAAUGUGAACAUAAGCGCGCAGAUGGUAAAAAAUGCAAGUAAAUCUUUCAGUUUUUGCUGUAUCUUAAACAUAAAAAUAAGACAAUUGUUUGCCAAAGGCAAUUCUUUAAACAUUGCAGUUGUGAUCAAACAGAGAUGCCAUUAAGCUCGGAAACCAGAGCUUUAUAGGCAGUUAAUCUUAGUAAAGUACUUAAUUUUUAUUAUCGAUAAUAUGAGACGACGAGUCAAUUGAAAAUACCACUUGUCUGUUGACACUCGAAAUUUAUGUCAAAUUAUUGAAGAAGCACAAAUGGAAUACUGUUAAAUUUGAGUUUGAUAAAAUGUGCCAUUUUCAACCAAAAGGGUACUUAUUGUCGAUCGUCAUUAAGGCGCUAUUUCCAUGUAGCUUCAAUUUGAUAUCAACCUUAUCGACGACCGACAAUGUGGCACCUUUUGGUUGAAAACGUCAAAAAUGUUGAUUAAUAUUGUUUUUUGACUACUUUUACCAUUAUUUAAGACGAUGUUUUGCGUGCUGCCUAAGGGGUGGCAUGUUUUUGCUAACAAUAGUUUUAUUAUUCGACUAUAGGAAAUUUAAGCCACUAGCGUUAAUUGAAUCUAUUAAACGUGGUAUGUAUGUACUUAUUGUCUUUCUUUUUACACGCCCAUUCCAAAGAUCUUAAAAAUCAUUUAUUGUCUGUAUCUUUAGGUAAUUAAAUAAAAGUAAACAAACAAUUUCUACAUUUACGGGUAGUUAUAACAUUUAUUGGUUAACCAACAAAAUACAAAACCUAUAAACUGAAAUAAAUUUGAUUUGUUCUAAUACUUCUAAUAGUAAAUAAAAUACAAAACCGCCUGGAUCAGUCACUGAACGACCUGACUUUAACCUACACUAGGUAUUUGAUCAUGUAAUGUUUUCAUCUACCCUCAACUGGCUUAAGGAGCCAUUUGAGGGUAGAUUUUGUUUACUUUUAUUUAAAUACCUAAAGAUACACAGUAUGGUAGGGUACUGGUAGGGUACUGCGUACAUUUGGAAAUCAUUGUUUCGCUAACAUUCUUUUGAGAUGUGUUUUUAUGUGAUAUCUAUUAUAUUAAUAAUGUAAAUAUUUCAAUACAGUUACUAUUAUGAUUAUCAAAUAAAUGGUUUAUUCUUUUACAA